UAAAUGGCGCUAUUAGGCACCACCAAAAAUCCAAAAAAAAAAGAUUU
rfam:Musca domestica strain aabys unplaced genomic scaffold Scaffold19101, whole genome shotgun sequence.